rnacentral:rRNA from 1 species
AGUGAACGCUGGCGGUAGGCCUAACACAUGCAAGUCGAACGGCAGCACAGUAAGAGCUUGCUCUUACGGGUGGCGAGUGGCGGACGGGUGAGGAAUACAUCGGAAUCUACUUUUUCGUGGGGGAUAACGUAGGGAAACUUACGCUAAUACCGCAUACGCCCUACGGGUGAAAGCAGGGGAUCUUCGGACCUUGCGCGAUUGAAUUAGCCGAUGUCGGAUUAGCUAGUUGGCGGGGUAAAGGCCCACCAAGGCGACGAUCCGUAGAUGGUCUGAGAGGAUGAUCAGCCACACUGGAACUGAGACACGGUCCAGACUCCUACGGGAGGCAGCAGUGGGGAAUAUUGGACAAUGGGCGCAAGCCUGAUCCAGCCAUACCGCGUGGGUGAAGAAGGCCUUCGGGUUGUAAAGCCCUUUUGUUGGGAAAGAAAAGCAGCAGGUUAAUACCCCGCUGUUCUGACGGUACCCAAAGAAUAAGCACCGGCUAACUUCGUG